GUGAGUAACACGUGGGUAACCUGCCCAUCAGAACGGGGAUAACACUUGGAAACAGGUGCUAAUACCGUAUAACAAUCGAAACCGCAUGGUUUUGAUUUGAAAGGCGCUUUCGGGUGUCGCUGAUGGAUGGACCCGCGGUGCAUUAGCUAGUUGGUGAGGUAACGGCUCACCAAGGCCACGAUGCAUAGCCGACCUGAGAGGGUGAUCGGCCACAUUGGGACUGAGACACGGCCCAAACUCCUACGGGAGGCAGCAGUAGGGAAUCUUCGGCAAUGGACGAAAGUCUGACCGAGCAACGCCGCGUGAGUGAAGAAGGUUUUCGGAUCGUAAAACUCUGUUGUUAGAGAAGAACAAGGAUGAGAGUAACUGUUCAUCCCUUGACGGUAUCUAACCAGAAAGCCACGGCUAACUACGUGCCAGCAGCCGCGGUAAUACGUAGGUGGCAAGCGUUGUCCGGAUUUAUUGGGCGUAAAGCGAGCGCAGGCGGUUUCUUAAGUCUGAUGUGAAAGCCCCCGGCUCAACCGGGGAGGGUCAUUGGAAACUGGGAGACUUGAGUGCAGAAGAGGAGAGUGGAAUUCCAUGUGUAGCGGUGAAAUGCGUAGAUAUAUGGAGGAACACCAGUGGCGAAGGCGGCUCUCUGGUCUGUAACUGACGCUGAGGCUCGAAAGCGUGGGGAGCAAACAGGAUUAGAUACCCUGGUAGUCCACGCCGUAAACGAUGAGUGCUAAGUGUUGGAGGGUUUCCGCCCUUCAGUGCUGCAGCUAACGCAUUAAGCACUCCGCCUGGGGAGUACGACCGCAAGGUUGAAACUCAAAGGAAUUGACGGGGGCCCGCACAAGCGGUGGAGCAUGUGGUUUAAUUCGAAGCAACGCGAAGAACCUUACCAGGUCUUGACAUCCUUUGACCACUCUAGAGAUAGAGCUUCCCCUUCGGGGGCAAAGUGACAGGUGGUGCAUGGUUGUCGUCAGCUCGUGUCGUGAGAUGUUGGGUUAAGUCCCGCAACGAGCGCAACCCUUAUUGUUAGUUGCCAUCAUUCAGUUGGGCACUCUAGCAAGACUGCCGGUGACAAACCGGAGGAAGGUGGGGAUGACGUCAAAUCAUCAUGCCCCUUAUGACCUGGGCUACACACGUGCUACAAUGGGAAGUACAACGAGUUGCGAAGUCGCGAGGCUAAGCUAAUCUCUUAAAGCUUCUCUCAGUUCGGAUUGCAGCUGCAACUCGCCUGCAUGAAGCCGGAAUCGCUAGUAUCGCGNUCAGCACGCGCG
rnacentral:rRNA from 1 species